rnacentral:rRNA from 1 species
CAGUAGCCGCGGGAAUGCGUAGGGUGCAAGCGUUAAUCGGAAUUACUGGGCGUAAAGCGUGCGCAGGCGGUUCGUUAAGACAGAUGUGAAAUCCCCGGGCUUAACCUGGGAACUGCAUUUGUGACUGGCGGGCUAGAGUAUGGCAGAGGGGGGUAGAAUUCCACGUGUAGCAGUGAAAUGCGUAGAGAUGUGGAGGAAUACCGAUGGCGAAGGCAGCCCCCUGGGCCAAUACUGACGCUCAUGCACGAAAGCGUGGGGAGCAAACAGGAUUAGAUACCCGAGUAGUCCCUGUCUCUUAUAC